rnacentral:rRNA from 1 species
UACGGAGGGAGCUAGCGUUGUUCGGAAUUACUGGGCGUAAAGGGCGCGUAGGCGGCCUUCUAAGUCAGACGUGAAAUCCCCCGGCUUAACCUGGGAACUGCGUCUGAUACUGGGAGGCUUGAGUAUGGGAGAGGGAUGUAGAAUUCCAGGUGUAGCGGUGAAAUGCGUAGAUAUCUGGAGGAAUACCGGUGGCGAAGGCGGCAUCCUGGACCAUAACUGACGCUGAGGCGCGAAAGCUAGGGGAGCAAACGGG